UAAUCUAAUCUAAACAUAUUUAUUUAUAGUGGAUUGGGAAACAAGUUUUGCAACUUAUAUUAAUCCCUUUCCACUUUGCGGGUGCGAGUGCUGCCUUGUAGCGGCAUUAGCCUACUCUUUUUCGAAAUCUACAAGGGUGUCUUUAACGUGCAAGAGAUGUGGCUCUCUCUUAACACGGGCCAGCCAUUUAUCGUCCCCGUCCGACGGACUAUCAUCGUUUCCUCAAGAC
rnacentral:lncRNA from 1 species